CAAGAUAGAGUUUGAUCCUGGCUCAGAUUGAACGCUGGCGGAAUGCUUUACACAUGCAAGUCGAACGGCAGCACGGACUUCGGUCUGGUGGCGAGUGGCGAACGGGUGAGUAAUAUAUCGGAACGUAUCCAAUAAUGGGGGAUAACUAAUCGAAAGGUUGGCUAAUACCGCAUACGCCCUAUGGGGGAAAGCUAGGGAUCUUCGGACCUGGCGUUAAUGGAGCGGCCGAUAUCUGAUUAGCUAGUUGGUGGGGUAAAGGCCCACCAAGGCGACGAUCAGUAGCUGGUCUGAGAGGACGACCAGCCACACUGGAACUGAGACACGGUCCAGACUCCUACGGGAGGCAGCAGUGGGGAAUUUUGGACAAUGGGCGCAAGCCUGAUCCAGCCAUUCCGCGUGAGUGAAGAAGGCCUUCGGGUUGUAAAGCUCUUUCGCAAGGGAAGAAAACUUAGGCGCUAAUAUCGCUUGAGGUUGACGGUACCUUGAUAAGAAGCACCGGCUAACUACGUGCCAGCAGCCGCGGUAAUACGUAGGGUGCGAGCGUUAAUCGGAAUUACUGGGCGUAAAGCGUGCGCAGGCGGUUUUGUAAGUCAGAUGUGAAAUCCCCGAGCUCAACUUGGGUACUGCGUUUGAAACUACAAGACUAGAAUAUGUCAGAGGGGGGUAGAAUUCCACGUGUAGCAGUGAAAUGCGUAGAGAUGUGGAGGAAUACCAAUGGCGAAGGCAGCCCCCUGGGAUAAUAUUGACGCUCAUGCACGAAAGCGUGGGGAGCAAACAGGAUUAGAUACCCUGGUAGUCC
rnacentral:rRNA from 1 species